AUGGGGCUCUCCUGGGCAGAAGCUAAGAGCCACCAUUUGUUCACCAUGCGCUCAUUUCCUGUCUCUCUGACAGGCUGCCAUGCUCCAGUUUGUAGGUGUCCAUCCACCUGUGAAGGGCUGAGCCAAGUCCUGGGCAUGGGGCUUCAUCUCCUGUGUCAAUUCAGGCAAGAGGAAGAGAGAGGAGGAAGCUUCCAGAUCCAAGCCAGAGGAGGUGGAUGCAGCACCCAUCGCCCAGAGCUUUGGGGCCUGGCCCAGCCUCUACCUGGCCGAGACACCCAACCCCAACCCCACCCACUUGGGCAUGCAGAAGAGUCUGAGACGGUGCACACUGACCCGCGGCAGAGUUACAGGCUUUCAGUCAGUGUCCUCCGAGACUCCGGGCCAGCAAGGAGGAAAGCGUCCUCAGCCUCAGUGGCAGAUGUGGAAAUGAAUGAUUUGCUGGAAAACACAGAGCUAGUGGAUGGUGGGGCCGAGAUCUGAACCUUCGUCAGGUUGAGUUCGCCAUGUGUGACUUUUUGUUCUAUGACACUGCUGCCUGUGUGUGGGCAGCACCGUUGCCUCCCCAGGCUCCGGGUCACAAGUGGGUACAAGGAUGAGCCCAGGGGACCUGUGCAAGGUGAGCAGGUAGCACUCAAGGUCAGCACCUAACGUCCCCCUGCCUGCUGGAGGGGGUGUGUCCAUGACCCACCGUCUGUGGCUCCCGUCCAGCCUCUGGCGUGUGGGGGCCCUCCGUGGUUUCUUUAGGUCUGUAACCGUCUUUCAGGCCAGCCCACUCUGAGCGACCAGGGUUCCUCCUACACAGAUCAUAAUUUCAGUCCUAGAGUCUCAUUCCCAAGAAAUAUCGUUUAGGACCCCAAGGAACUUUUAACUCACUCAGCCUUUCUUGGAGCCAGUAAAUGCAAAUAGCUAGCGAUGAAUUCCUCAAGUUAUCCGGGAUAAAUGAUGGCUCUGGAAAUGAUCUCUCUCUUAAGAGCUGUGGAAAUUGGUGCAGUUUGAAGGGAGUCUGAGUUUCUGAGUCUGUCCUUGCAGCACGUCCCCUGGAAUGAGGUUUGUGCUCUGCGUGCGUUCAUGUUUUAGAGUAGAAGAGAAGCAACACCGAAUUAAAGCAUGUUACGUCUAUGCCUAAUACACAGAUUACCAAUAAAUAAUAGGCAGUUUAUGUGCCCCGCGAGCAGGCAUUUCAGAGGAGGAAAGAGGUACCGCCUCGCGGUGGGGGAGGACACCUGGGCAGGCAACACGGAGCUGGUGCUAACCCCUUGCCUUCCAGACAGAGUCAGUCUCAACCGCGAAAGUGAGUUGACCUGCCCUCCACUCUGCUCCGCGUGUGGGCUGAUUGCUGGGUGUUUCCACUCCAGGCCACCCUGCUGACCUGUCCUUCCGGAACCUGGUCACCACCAAACCAUCUUCCCAGCAAGGCUUUCUAAAGGGAGUUCUUAGAAUGUGGGAUCAACAGCACAGAAAUGAGAACCCAUACAACAAUAGGGAACCAGCGAGACACGGACCUGGUUUUUGAAGCCGGAAUGUGAAUUAAGCUCAAUUUGGACGGCCUCGCUCGAGAUGCAGUAACUCUAAAUUAGCUCUAAAGGAAGGACGGGUGGCUGAGAUUGAUGCUCGCGCCUAAGACGUAAACCGCGCUUAUUGGACGGCCCGAGAAGAAUAGAUGUUUUAUCUCCCCCUUACAGGAAACAGCCCAUUAAUAGAGGAGCGUUUAUUGUCACUUCCUGAG
rnacentral:lncRNA from 1 species